GGAAGUUCUUAGGUGAUGCACCCCAGAAUCAGGCUCCCUCCUCUCUGGUUCUGGGUGCGUCACCAGAGAACUGCA
rfam:Myotis lucifugus cont2.14184, whole genome shotgun sequence.